rnacentral:rRNA from 1 species
AUUGAACGCUGGCGGCAUGCUUUACACAUGCAAGUCGAACGGUAACAGCACUUCGGUGGCUGACGAGUGGCGAACGGGUGAGUAAUGUAUCGGAACGUGCCCAGUAGUGGGGGAUAACUACUCGAAAGAGUGGCUAAUACCGCAUGAGAUCUCUGGAUGAAAGCGGGGGACCGUAAGGCCUCGCGCUACUGGAGCGGCCGAUAUCAGAUUAGGUAGUUGGUGGGGUAAAGGCCUACCAAGCCUGCGAUCUGUAGCUGGUCUGAGAGGACGACCAGCCACACUGGGACUGAGACACGGCCCAGACUCCUACGGGAGGCAGCAGUGGGGAAUUUUGGACAAUGGGCGCAAGCCUGAUCCAGCAAUGCCGCGUGCAGGACGAAGGCCUCGGUUGUAACUAGCUUUGUACGGACGAAACGGUAGAGCUCUAAUAAAGACUUGCUAAUGACGGUACCGUAAGAAUAAGCACCGGCUAACUACGUGCCAGCAGCCG